AGGCCUUUUGAGCUUUUGGAGCCGCCGUCGUCGCGACCACGGGUUGCCAUUCAAAGAACAAGACAGAGAGGCUCGGCGAAGGUUACUUCCGCUUCCGUGUUUAUGGGUUCAACUAUACCAGAUCCUUUUGGAUUCUGUUCCUAUCUUCCGAAGUGACAAUCACCUUCCCAGUUUUGUGUCAUCUGCAAACCUCAUAAGAAAUUCCUCUACCACAUUUACAUCAUUGAUUAAAAAUGAAGAAUCACCAUGCAAGAUCUUCUUCCAGUUUGAAGCACAUCCAUUGAUGAAUUAUAGAAUCAUAGAGUUUGAAGAGACCUUGUUGGCCAUCCAGUCCAACCUCCUGCCAAGAUGCAGAAAAAUCUCAUUCAAAGCACCCCUGACAGAUGGCCAUCCAGCCUCUGUUUAAAAGCCUCCAAAAAAGAA